GGAAUGCCUGUAAUCUACAUCCGAAUUGUUUGGUUCGUCAGCUCGUUGUGACUUGUGACUCAUUUCUAAUUCUUGAUUUCGUGUCUUUGUAAGCUUACACUAAACCUGGCCUGAUUUAUUAGCUUGUUUAAAUCGACGCAUCUUUGUUGACGAGACACUUAUACUUCUUGGCAGUGACUGAGUUUCAAGAAACUUUGAAAAACAAUUUUGAGAAGAAACCUGUUUCCUUAUUCCUAACUAAUCUAUCUUGACCUUGUGAAGACUUCGUCCUACCCCAGGUUAUCAAAUAUCAGUGAUAAGAAGUACAGGAUCACAACAACUUAUUCGAGCAACUACUUUCUAACUGGUAUCUAUCUUGUGAAGACUCUCUCCUCAACCCCAAGUUAUCAGUGACUGAGUUUCAAGAAACUUUGAAAAACGAUUUUGAGAAGAAACCUGUUUCCUUAUUCCUAACUAAUCUAUUUUGACCUUGUGAAGACUUCGUCCUACCCCAGGUUAUCAAAUAUCAGUGAAGUACAGGAUCUCAACAACUUAUUCGAGCAACUACCUUCUAACUGGUAUCUA